rnacentral:lncRNA from 1 species
GGGAUUACAGGUAUGAGCCACCAUGCCUGGCCAACUGAGCACUUACAUUAGGAAAAGCUGGUCUCAGCCACAGAUUCAUUUGGGUCUGGCCUAUGUUGCCAGAGAGUGGAAGCUUCAGCCUCUCCCAUGAAAAUGAGGCAAAAACCUCUGCAGUAUUUCCCAGCAAAACAAGUUUCCUUCCUUGUGGUGUGGGGCACAUGCAGCUGUGUUUCAUCAGCUAAUGUGAGCUUGUGUCCAAGAAGUCCCCACCCCUCUCUCCUCUGAGUACCUGAGAUUCUGGGAAAUGAACUCUAUUUUAAGCCUCUGGGUUUUCCUUGUCAUUAGGAGCACAGAGCUCCUUGCAAAUAGGUAGCCACAGGGGAGCUAAAAAAAGGGAAGAUGAAGUGAGACCCACAUAGCCCCAAGUCUUCCACCUGAAGACUCUGGAAUCCAUCAUCACCCUUGGAGACAUUAACUGUCUUUGGGUAGGGGCUUCUCUCAGCGAUGGAAUGGUUAACCGAUCUGAGCUCCUUCCCUGUAAGAAGUUUGAUAUAAAACAUGUCAAGAGUAUUUUAACACUUCUGUAUUUUUUCAGCCAGCCGCAGUGGCUCAAGCCUGUAAUCCCAGCAUAUAGGGAGGCCAAGGUGGGCAGAUCACUUGAGGUCAGGAGUUCGAGACCAGCCUGGCCAAUAUGGUGAAAUCCUGUGCCUACUAAAAAUACCAAAAUAGCCAGGCAUGGUGACAGGUGCCUGUAGUCCCAGCUACUCGGGAGGCUGGGGCAGGAGAAUCACUUGAACCCAGGAAGUGGAGGUUGCAGUGAGCAGAGAUCGCACCACUGCACUCCAGCCUGGGUGACCAGAGCGAAACUCUGUCUCAGAAAAAAAAAAAAAAAAAAAAAAAAAACAACUAUAUUUUUUGUUGUUUGCGCCUUUCUUUUUUGAUUUUGCUGCAGCAAAAUGGAUAUUCAGCACCAUCUACCUCUCAACAGCUAUAAAGGGAAGUAGUUGAGAAAAGACCACUUUCCAAUUUUCCUACAUCCCUUGGGAAGAAAGGACAUGACACUUGGGUUCAGAUUUUUUAAGGCCCAAGUGUUGACUAGUCUUCCCUCCUCUAGCCAAAGCCCAUAGGUAGUAAACAAAUUCAGUCAACUGGUUUCUUACAAGCCUUCCUUAAGCAUUUCAUGAAGGAUGCUUUUUGGAUUAACGGCUAAUAUUGACUUCAGUUCCCAAAGGAAAUUGAACAUUUCCAUGUACUUCCCAAAGGGUAAAUGAAGAAACCCAUGUUGAAAAAGUUAAAUCUGCAUUUCUGAGAAAUAACCAUAGUUUGUGUGGGAGGUGUCCUUGGCCUUCACUCUCAUGCUCCUUGAGGCGACAAUGUCAGUGCCAUAGCUGAAGGGUAAAUGGUGUGUGAAUGAGGUGCCCUCAGCAGCAACUUUAGACAAGGCUGACAGCGAAAGACAAGCAAAAAUAAAAUCAAGGUAAAAUACUGCCAAUGCUUCUAUUGCUAUUUGUAUCAUGUUACCCUUAAUGAUUUGUAAUUUUACAUUUAAAGUUAUUAUCUUUUGGCAGGCACCUUGACUUUAAGUGUCUGUUACACCAAAGGUUAUGGCAAACUGUGUCUGCAGCCCACAGUAAAAUCCAGUUUAAGGCUCUCCACACUGGAGUGCAGCUAUCCAGGUAGGUAGUGCCACCAGCCUAAGGUCACACCUUCUUCCUUGGCGUGAGGUUGCCCUACGUUGGCACUUAUCAUGGUCACUGCUUUGGUGACUGUCAUUCUGCCCAGGGCUUUAAGUGACCACCUUCCACAGACUCCCCCAUUUCAUACUACAGAGAAAGCAUCUUGUGUCUUACCUUCCCUCCCUUAGUGUGCUAGGACUGCCUGGUGAGUGGCACUAAAGGAUCAUCCCUUGGUUCCUGAUAUCUAGGAACCCACAUAUGCUUAAAAACAGCAAGAUAACUCCCCAGAUUGAAUCUCUGCAGGCUGAAAAGUUGGAUGGAUUCCAACUAGAGCACCAUUUCCCUAAUCCCACACACUUUUAAGGGACUAGAGACUGAGGAAUGUUCAGGGAUUAUCACAGAAUAUUCUGGUCCUUUUGUUGGAGCCUGAAAGCUCUUUAGAGCAAUUGAGUACACAGAAAUUCAGCCAGAAUGGGAGCACAAGCAGAAGCAGACCAAGCUAUUUCUCCCCUGAACACACACUCUGCACACUGACAGGUACAAAUAUAGCUAAAAGAAAUGACGAUUACAUAAGUUCCUAGCCAGUGUCCAGCACAUAGUAAGUCUAUCAGUUAGCUCUUCCUGUUUAACAAAUCUUCCCUAAACUUAGUGGCUCAAAACAACCACCCUUUAGCUUACGAUUCUGCAGUCUGGCAUAUUUCUGCCAGCUUGCCCAUGCUCAGAGGCCAGCUGCCUGGUGGGCUAGGGCCUGGCUGGACUAGGACAGCCUCAGCUGGGGCAGCUUCUCUGUGUUUCUCAUUCUCCAGCAGGCUAGCUUGGGCUUGUUCACACAAGUUUCCAGAGAGAGAAGUAGGCAAGAGCUUCAGAACCGUACAAACAAGGUCCGCUGCAUUCUACUGGCCACAGUGAGUCCCUAGGGCAGCCCCAGUCGAAGGAGCAGAGAGGUAGUCUGUUCCUCUUGAUGGAAGAGAGGCACAGAGUCAUUUAGCUUAGGGGUAAACAUAUAGACGCAGUGAAGGAUUGUGGCCACUUUUACAAUCUACCACUGUAGCUACCAAUAAGUUCUGUGUUUACAGUUUUUCAGCCAUUUCCAAAAGGAAUUAUAUUGAUGUGUUAGUUGACAAGCCUACAAUGAAAAGAUAGAUGGGAAAAGAAGACCAUCAGACAGGUAAAGAAGAUUGUCAAAGACCAAUACCUUUGUUAAUGCGCUUGCUCCCCCAACAGCCAACCCCUCGAAGGGUCCCUCCCUGACCCAGCCCUCCUCCUCCCUCCCCUUAAUGUGAGAUCCUCACUGGGCCUCAGCCCAGGGCUUGCGUCCUGCCCUCAGGGCAUGAGCAUCUGGUUGAGACUGUCUCCAUCUUCUGGCGUAGCAGCUUUGGUCCCUUGUGAGCUACUCAACUCCUUGAUGGAGUCAUUUCAGAGUCUCUGGGAAAAAUUGAAGCUCUCCUCCAAGAGUUGGGGGUGGGCUCCCCUGGUCUGGAAUGUUCUUUCCCGUCUUAUUUGGAAGUUAGAAAGUGGCUAGUAACAUGGCCAGCGCCUGUGGGAUCAUCCUCUUCCUCAAGGUGGCUGGAUAUGUGGAGACAAGCACGAAGAAGUCCAGGCUCUGUCACGACGUUGCUGACUGGCUUCUGUCACAUUUUCAGGCAUCUUUUAGCUAGAGGUGCGCGUGUGACACCACAUGGACUGUGAGAAAUAGUCAAGUUCAGCCUAGUGACGCUUCUGGCAAAGCUUGUUUUCCUGAUUUUUAAAAAAGGAGUUGGGGGAGUGCCAUGCCUUUUGUCCUUCCUCCCUCCUCCUGCCUGGAACAUGGAUGUGAGACCAGGAAGUACAGCAGCCAUCUUGUGACCAUGAGGACUAAAGGCCUGCGCUGAGGAUGGUACAGUAAAAUGAAAGAAGCAGCCUGGAUGCCUGAUGAGCAGCUGUGCCAGCCCCAGGGUCAUGCAAAUCAGUGUCAAUCAUUGUGGUUCUGGUUUUCUCCUAUUUGUAGCCAAAUAAAUUCCUUACUGAUAUAGGCAGGGUCCUUGUUGGUUCCAAAAAAAAGUGGAUUCACAGAAAUAUAACUGAGAGAACCAUGAAUUUCUAAAGAAGUCCUAGAAAUAGAUCAGUCAGAGAAGUUGUCCAUUUCAGGCAGGGGUUUCUACUGUAAGUUGCUUGGAUGGAAAAUAAAUCAGUGUUAAGGAGGUGAGAAUGCCAUCACUUGAAUUGUAUGACUAUAUCUUAUUAAAUCUCAGAUGCCAUCAGUUGUAAGGUAUAGCAUUAUUUUACAUAUCACUAUGAGAGAAGAAAAUGCUCUCAAGACAUAUCACUGAUUGUAAGAUGCAUCCACCUUGAUUUCAGAGAUUUUAAAAUGUGAAAAAAGGGAGGGACAUCUUAGGAUCAGUGAAAUAUGGCACAUAUUUAUUUGCUUCCUUGAUUCCUGCCUGCUGUGCUCAUUAGACCAGAGACACUGUCUGCCAUGCUCUCUGCCAAGUCCUCCAUACCUAGAAUUGGGCCUGGCAUAGAGUGGGGUCUAUAAAUAUUGGUUAAUUAAUAAGUUAACUAAUAAGUUCUAGUCCUUGCUUUUCCAAUAACUUCCCAUGCUACCCUGGCUGGAGAAAGCAUUUCCCUUUCUCUGUACCUCAUUUCUCCAUAAUCUAGUUCAACUGACCCUCACCAGAACUGAAGAAACAAAAAGCCCCAAAUACAUGCAAAGCGGACCUACACUCUGCAUCACCAUGGUGACGCCUCCCAGGGUCCCAGAGGGCAGGGAGGCCUCAUCUUCCACCAUCCCUAGAAAUCUCUCUUUCCCCAGAGCCCAACUCCUUCUAAAGCUCUGUGGUUAACCCUUUCCAGGCAAGCCUUUUCCAACACUCUGUUAGGGUUACUAAAUGUGCUCCCUACAAAUGGACUAGGGCCAAGGAAUUAUGCAAGAUCCUUCAAGCAAAGAGAUGGUAUUUUGUAACUUCCCUGAGUUUCUCCAGGAAGAUGAAAUGCACAACAUAUUUUAGAAUAAUAUCAACCUACAUAUGUCAGAGAGGUAGUCUUGUCUGACCAAAGCCCUUGAGCUGGUGAGGGGCGGGGUUCCAGGUGCCCCUUCUGCUGCACUAGCAUUGUAUUCAGAAGUAAUAAAGAUGAUGGCUUUCAUGUAAUGAGUGACGAACCCUUUGCAUAUAUUCCUUCAUUGAGUCUUCAACAGAAACUUAUGGGGUAGGAAGUAUCUUUAUCCCCAUUUUACAAGUGGGGAAACUGAGGCAUAUAGCUGUUAAGUAGGUGGCAGAGCCUGGCCUCGAAGUCAGGUGGGGUAGCACCAGAGUUUAUGCUCUUAACCACUAUGCUCUA